rnacentral:piRNA from 1 species
UAAGAAAGAAAUAAGCUAUAGUGAUAAAAUA